rfam:Heligmosomoides polygyrus genome assembly, scaffold: HPBE_scaffold0000596
GCGCCGGUGGUGUAAGGCGAACAUCGCUGCCCGGAAAGCAGAAGAUGCGGGUUCGAUUCCCGCCUGGCGCA